ensembl:lncRNA
CAAAAACGAGUUACAUUUACGAAGGCGAGGCUACUAGAUCAUUAAAACCUAGCAGUGUCACAUCAUUUGUGUUGGUAGUGCCAAUCUGUUAACCAAGGUUCUUCUGCCCUUGGUGAUCCUACAACUACCAGCAUUCCACAGCCCUGAUGAAUUUCUGACCACUGCUUAGGGACGGAGGAUCCUGGUACGUGGCCUUGAAGUUCUCCCAUUGAAAGCACUGAGCAUUGUGACGUCCAGAGUGGCUCCCCACAACUAUCUUUGUACCUGAGUGGAGACAGGAGCCCCAGCAUUCUACUUGGGGGAGCUGGGGAGUAAGUAGAGGUGCUUGCGGGUGAGGGGGUGCUCCACCGAGCAUUGGUG